UACGGAGGGUGCGAGCGUUGUCCGGAAUCACUGGGCGUAAAGGGCGCGUAGGUGGCGCGGGCAGUCAACGGUGAAAGUUCGGGGCUCAACCCUGAAUCGGCCGUCGAUACUCCCGGGCUUGAGCACUGUAGAGGCUAAUGGAAUUCCGGGUGUAGCGGUGGAAUGCGUAGAGAUCCGGAAGAACACCGGUGGCGAAGGCGGGUCUCUGGGCCGAUAUUGACGCUGAGGAGCGAAAGCGUGGGGAGCAAACAGG
rnacentral:rRNA from 1 species